UCCGGUUGAUCCUGGCGGAGGUUACUGCUAUCGAGGUUCGACUAAGCCAUGCGAGUCGAAUGUAGCAAUACAUGGCGUACUGCUCAGUAACACGUGGACAACCUACCCUGAGGUCGGGGAUAAACCCGGGAAACUGGGUAUAAUACCCGAUAGAUCUAGAUUGCUGGAAUGCUUUUAGGUCUAAAGUUCCGACGCCUCAGGAUGGGUCUGCGGCCUAUCAGGGUAGUAGUGGGUGUAAAGUACCUACUAGCCUACGACGGGUACGGGUUGUGAGAGCAAGAGCCCGGAGAUGGAUUCUGAGACACGAAUCCAGGCCCUACGGGGUGCAGCAGGCGCGAAACCUUUACAAUGCUGGCAACAGCGAUAAGGGGACCUCGAGUGCUACGAUACAAUCGUGGCUGUCUAGUUGCCUAAAAAGCAAUUGAUAGCAAGGGCCGGGCAAGACCGGUGCCAGCCGCCGCGGUAACACCGGCGGCUCGAGUGGUAACCGCUAUUAUUGGGUCUAAAGGGUCUGUAGCCGGCUUAGUUAGUCUCUUGAGAAAUCUGGCCGCUCAACGGUCAGGCGUUCAGGGGAUACUGCUAAAGCUCGAGACCGGGAGAGGUGAGAGGUACUUCAGGGGUAGGGGUGAAAUCUUGUAAUCCUUGAAGGACCACCAGUGGCGAAGGCGUCUCACCAGAACGGAUCUGACGGCAAGGGACGAAAGCUAGGGGCACGAACCGGAUUAGAUACCCGGGUAGUCCUAGCCGUAAACGAUACUCGCUAGGUGUCGGCCACGGUGCGACCGUGGUCGGUGCCGUAGGGAAGCCGUGAAGCGAGCCACCUGGGAAGUACGGCCGCAAGGCUGAAACUUAAAGGAAUUGGCGGGGGAGCACUACAACGGGUGGAGCUUGCGGUUUAAUUGGAUUCAACGCCGGAAAUCUUACCGGGGCCGACAGCGAUAUGAAGGCCAGGCUAAGGACCUUGCCUGAUUAGCUGAGAGGUGGUGCAUGGCCGUCGUCAGUUCGUACUGUGAAGCAUCCUGUUAAGUCAGGCAACGAGCGAGACCCA
rnacentral:rRNA from 1 species